UUCAUUUUUUUUUAUAUCGUUUAUUACAUUGCUUUUGAACGAUACUACAUUGGGAAAAUGAAGAGUCAUUCCCUUAUUCCCUUUGUUCAUUUUCUAUAUAAAGGGAUGUGUAGGGCUCAUUUGCCCCACACCAACCCUCCUCCCUCCUCCUUCCCUCUAGUUUUUGUGUUCUCUCUCUAAAGAGUAUAUUUCUCUAGUUGCCAGAUUUUGGAGUUUGUUCUCCGUGCUCUUUUGCUUAAGAUACUUUUCUUAAAUUUAUUUCUAAGUUUUACUUGUGACUUUUUUUUUAGGUAUUUCGAUCUUUGGAGUUUUGUAGUACUUGAACGUUUCUGGUUUUUGGCCUCUGGCUAUAGUUUUCGACCUCUGACUAUGGUUUUCAGCCUCUAGCUAUAACUUUCAGUCUCCGAUAAUGGUUUUUGGCCUACAAUGAUGGUUUUUGGCAUUCGACUCUGAUUUUCGGCCUAUGAUUUUCGACAUUCGAUUUUUGGUUUUCGAAUUCCAAUUUUCGGCUUUUGAUUUUCGGCUAGUUCGGUUUUUGGACAAUUGGUCAAUUAGGUUUUCAACCUUUUAGGUUUUCGGCCCGAGGUAUUCUGCUUAGGAGGUUUUUUACCCAUUUGGGUUUUCGGCCAGUACAAUAGAUUUCUCUUUGUCGAAUUUGGUGGAAGAUGAAGAGUUUACUGGAGCCCAUCAGUAAAAAAACAGUAGUGGCAAAGGUUUCUCCUACUACAACCUCAUCUUACUUGCCUUAUACUCCUCACCUCUCAACUAUCGGGUUGGUCUCUACGGUCAGCCAAAAAAAGAUUAUAGAUAUAGUACUAAUGUUCCAUAUUCCAAAGGUUUUUAAGGGGUACCCUUAUGGCGUAGGACAGAUGGUCAAUGGUAUGGUGACUAAAGGUAGAUGUAUUAUAGUUUUCAUGGAGCAACUGAAAGCUAAGCUACGCUUUCCCUUAGAUCCUUUAAUCGUAGAGAGAUAGUUGGGGAUAAUGCUUCGUUGAUGAGGAAGCUUGCGGAGAAAGAGAGAAAAGAGGGGAGUCAGUUGGUCCCUUCUAAGAGAUCCAAGACCACCGGAGAGUCUUCCACUCCAGACCCCAAUUUUUAGGUUCAAGCCAUUGUUGACGCACCUUCUCACUUGGCUAGCACUGGGGUUCCUCCCAUGCCUUCUUCUCCUUCUUUUGACGGAUUACUAAGGGGUCACUCUAUGGUUGCCGACAAUUACCUUCUGGUUGGACAUAUAGGAAGGAAGAUCUUGCUUCUUGAGGAUCGAGAAAGACUUGACACAGAGGACGAUGAUGAUAUUUAUCAUCAUGCUCUAGCUAUAAGCUUGGAGGCUAUAACUGUUGUUCAAACUGAAAAAGAGAGAUUUCAUAGGUUGCAAGGAGCCUAUGGGGAGCUUUAAGCAUAGAACAUCCUCCUCAGCACCAAAAUGGGUAACCUGCAAACCUUUCAUAGGAACAUUUAGGUGGAGCUAGCGAAGGUUCAAUCCCAGCUUGGGGAGAUAGAUGAUGAGAGAGCACGCUAUAAGGAGGCUGAGAAGAAAGUGAAUUUUAUUGAUGAUACAAUUGCGGAUAUGUAUAUAGAUUUGCAAGGUUCAAUCAUGUCUGAGUUACAUCAUCGGAAUCCUGCUGGGGAUUAUGGUUGAGUUCAAGACAUGACUCCUGAGGCGACUAUGCCUAUGAACGAAGAGUCUCAUCAUGAAGGGAGCGGGAAUGAAGAAUAGAACACUAGGUUUCAAAAUUUUGUAUUUUGGCUCUUCAGGUCCUGUCUAGAUGUUCUUCUAUGUUUUCAUUAUUCGUUUUUCUAGUCUAGUAUCCACUUUAUAUUUACAUUGUAUUGAACUUUGUGUAUAAUGAUAAAAGAAUGCCAAUUUCCUA